rnacentral:tmRNA from 1 species
GGGGGUGUAAUAGAUUCGACGGGUAUCUGUUGCCUUUCGGAAGCAAGUGCCGGUUGGUCCGGCCGGCUAAAAUAGGACCGAAAAAAUAACUAACGACAAUCAAGUCGCUUGGGCUAACGCUUAGUCCACUGCGCUUUUCCUGUUUCCCGCGCGGGGAAAGAACGCAGUUAAUCCACGGGAUGCGGCAGUACGGGCGCGGUUCGUCCCGCCUGCCUAAGCCUAACGAACCAAACCGCAAACGUGCCGUUGCGCGCUUAGUUUGCGGUAUUGAGCGCAACUAAACUUGUAGAGACCGGUGGGAGAAGAUGUUCGGACGGGGGUGCGAAUCCCCCCACCUCCACU